UACGUAGGGUGCAAGCGUUGUCCGGAAUUAUUGGGCGUAAAGAGCUCGUAGGCGGUGUGUCACGUCGGCCGUGAAAACCUGCAGCUUAACUGUGGGCGUGCGGUCGAUACGGGCAUCACUGGAGUUCGGCAGGGGAGACUGGAAUUCCUGGUGUAGCGGUGAAAUGCGCAGAUAUCAGGAGGAACACCGGGUGGCGGAAGGCGGG
rnacentral:rRNA from 1 species